CUUCAAACUAUCUUUAAUAUUUGAUGUUAAGAAAUAUUUCUUUCUGUUGAGUCCUAGACCUUUUGUUUUUAAUUCAAGCAAUCAAACUGCCAAAUUACUGUAAUUAUUAACAGCAUAGGUCAUUGAUAAUCAGUUGAAUUUUAGAACUGCUUUGGGAAACCCUAUUUUGUAAUGAGACACAUUACUUCUUGCAUUAUUGUAUAUUGUAAGGUCAAUGGGAUAAACUGCUUGAUGCACAGUAGAUUUUAUAAUUUUAAAUAUAGUUGCA